CCUCUCCUCCCCCCAUUUACUAAAAGUUGUAGCCAUUUGUUCAAUUACACUCACUGUUUAUUCUUUAAAAAAUGUUCAAGGGACCAAAUAACUGCACUUAACCCAUGAUAUUGUCAAAAACACAGAAAGGAGACAUUUCCUGGGAAGCAAAUCCUCAGAGUAUGUUCACCUUACACAGAAGGUGUACUUCAAAGGUAGGCAUUUCAGCUAGCAUUAUAAUUUGUCAAAUCAUACUAUAAAGACUCAUUAGAUAUCGUAACAAAACAAUUAAGUUUGAUCCCCUUGGUUGUGCCAGCUUUGUUCUUGGUGCCUCACUUCCCCCUCUCUCAUUUUGAUCACUACAUUCCAAGGGAUGAUGGGCCAUACAAGUACUGUAACCAUGCUUGGUACAAAAGUAUUCACACAUCUUUGCUUUGACAAGUUUCCUAUUUUCUAUUUCUUAAGAUGACUUCAGUUUUGCAAGAUCUUGUGAGAUGCUUGACAUGGUGAAAGCAAUAUUGAGAAGAGCAUAAUACACUCAGUUAACAUAGCUUGGUUGUACUUGGUAUAAUUACCUCCCCCCACAGCAUAACACCCAUCAAUGUGGCAUUAACCAUGCUGAACAUGUGUGCUACCAAACAAUUGUAAUGCUGCACAGUACACUGAAAACACAUUAGGUUCUGUAGGUUUUCCUACACAUUAUAAUCCUGCUAUUUUUAAAAGUUUAAAAAACUCCUCAUAUUUCUAAAGCUCUCACCUGCUUAAGACAAGCUUUAGAGAAAUCCAUUGAAAAUUGCAGUUAAUCAUUGUCUGUCUAUAAAGUCAUCUAAGUUUCCAGUCAAGUAGGUUAAUAAAUAGGUUCAGGCCAUGUUUAGACUAUAAAAGUUCAGUUGAUGCAUCUGUAGUAUGUUGCUUCUGUAUACAUUGAUGGGUGCUUGCAUUGGCAUUGCAUCAACCUAGCUGUGUAUGUGUCUGUAACAAAUUUUGUCUUGGGUCAAUGUAAGCUCCCUGUUACUGUGACUAUGCCUCUAAGUCACAUGGGGGAUGCUAGUAAAGAUACCCAACAGAUAGCAGCAACAGGUGAAGGCAAAGGAUCAAGUUAAGACAAAGGAAGGCAACGUAAAAUCUGACAUGGCCCCACAAACCUGGCUGGGGCUUUGACUGCAUGUUCUACUUGGUGGGAACCGCAUGUACAAUUAUGGGCACCUUGCAGCAGUAAAAAAACCGAGCCCCCUGCCAUGAAUCACAAGGACAAGGCAAUAUGGCAGGAGACUCAACACAAGCCAUGAGCCAGCAGCUUUUUGAAACUAUUCUUGUCUAGUCAGCCAAACAGACAAACCUUCUGUUGAAGGGGAAGGAAGGUUGGGUAAGUUUGCACAGGAAAUCGGCCUUUCCAUGGUGAAACAGUCUGUGGGGAGAAAGCCAGACAUGCUCUAUUCAAUUACACCUCAGCAUGAGGCCCGGCUUGACUGGGAUAAUCAGCUUAGCUGCAAGCAUAUACAUAUUGCCAGCCCAGAGAGGGGCAGUAUGUCCUGUACAAACAUUGGGAAAUAGCAGGGGGCCUCAGAUAAGGAUACUUCCUUAGGCUAGGAAAAUGCAGGGAAGAAAGUUUAAUGUCUGAUUUUUAUUGCAUGGUUGGUUCAUUAACAUUAACUUGAUGCCUGACAAAUGUGAUGUUUGCUUGUGCUUUUCUGGGACCCAGAGCCACUGGAAUUUGCAAGACUCAUGCCUGAGAAUAAGAAUCCCAAUUCACAGUAGAAAGAAGGGUCACCAUAUAAUUGAUCCCAACCCUGUUCCAUUCAUGACCGUCUACAAUAGUUACAGAACAAGCACAUGAAUCCUUACUUUCCACAACUACUUUCACCCUUGAGGGUGAGGGCUCAGAAGUGAACUAUACCUUGCAUUGGGACCCUUUAACCUUAUUCAUCUUUAAAAUGUAGUAUUUGUAACAAGGUCCUUUGAUCUUUAUUUAAAGCCUUUUUUACUCUUAACAAAAGAGCAAUACUGAAAUAUAUUUUUAAAUUGCAGCAUAUAUAUGCCAUUCUGUUUAGACCAUGCUUUCCACCUCCUGCAUACAGUAUUUAGUGCAGCUUUGUUUCAAAUAGUUCACAACUGUAAGGCAGGAUGAUGAGCCCAAGGGUAUAGAAUUUACUGAAGAUAGAUUUUUCACAUCAAUUUAAGCUACUUAUGUUUAGAGUAGUGUCGUGCUUUUCAGAAAUGUCAGUGUCCCAUUAUUUGGAUCUUGGCAGAUUGAAAGGUAUGUUUAGAAUUAGAGUAUCUUUUUUAAAAAGCAAGAUAGGCCAAAGAGGCUUUUAAAAGGGUGAAAAAAGUACUUUUCCAAAUGGACAUUAUAUGCACAGCAAAGUGAAAAGUUCCCAUUUGGCAGAUACUCUUGAAGAAACACACUUGUUGAUUACAUGUAGGGUCUAGUCUCAAGUCAAUCAAUGUAGACAACUAGAUCUUCACAUGUGUGCAAUCCCAGGCAGUAGAUUGCUUGCUCACUAGAUUCCAUCUAGCAGGAUUUCCUCUCUAUAGCUGCUAUAAGAAACAUUUAAAGUAUACUUGAACCUUUCCUAUCAAAACUAAAGUGAGCUAGGAGGAGGAAUACCAAUUAUACAAAAAUAGUAUAGAAACUACUCAAUCACUAUGUAGACAAUCGGUUAGCUAGUACCACUAAAGAUCCUUUGCCAAGACUGCAUAGUUUGAGAUUCAUGCUAUUACAAGAAACCAUGUUGCACAGUGACGACCUAGUUCCAUUUCACUUGCCUAUCUUUUCCACUCAAGACUGUCCUAUCAGAGAUAGCAGAUCCAUAUGGAGCUAGUCUUCUUGCACCUCAGACCUAUGCUUCACUCACAUAAUAGUUAAAAAGGACUUUAGACACCAAGAGAAUACUCAUUGACAACUGAGAAUGUAAUGCAUACCAAUUACCUUGAUCAUUGGGGUUCCAGCAGAAAGAUUGCUGAGCUAUGUUUUUGGAUUUAUGAAAUACCACUUUAAAGGGUGAAGUCUUCAGACCCAAAGAACUAUGGUUAUGAAAUCCUAGCUGAGGAAGGCCUCUUCACCUGUUGAGGUGCAAGGUCCAUCAGUGUGACUUUAAAAGGAUAAGGGGAGUAAAUAAAGAGUUUGAAUGGGCAAGAGCCACUAAGAUUAGGGUUUGUCUACACCAGCAAGUUACAGUGCUGUAACUUGUCUCACUCAGGGGUCUUAAUAAAAUAAAAUAAAAAAUACACCUCCCAAGUGCAGCAAGCUAGUGUGCUAAAGUGCCAGUAGAAACAAGAUCCCAGAGCUGAAAGCUAUGUUGCUCCUAGAGGUAGUUUAUCUAGAGUGCUGAAUUAGUUCUCCCCCAGAGCUAGUGUAGUGAUAACACGGCUGCAUUAAAACUUGGAAGGGUACACAAAGUCUUAUAUCAGUGUGGGGAAGCUUUUUGGGUCAUGGGCCUCUGACACAGAAAAAAAAAUCAGUCAGGGGCUGCACAGAAGUGAGAACAAAAACAAAACCCCCUCACUGAUGUGCUCAUCUGAGGAGAAGACACUCCCUACCUUCCCCUUGUACACCUGAGCCAAAGAGGGCCCAGACUCAGAUUUUGUGGUCUAACCCCAUGGUAAGGGGGAGGGGGAGAGGGGGAAGAAGACUGGAGUGCCAGUGCAAACUCUCGAAUUCUGGGGGUGGUCCUGAGCCUUGGGAGCUGAAUCUGGGUAAGCUGGGGGAAGGGGCAAAUGCGGCGCCCGGGCCUGAGGUUCCCCACCCCUGCCUUAGAUACACUGAGUAUAAAUCCUUAAUACAUUCCAUUCUGCACAGCAUUCCACACAUUCACUUUAGUAAACCAAAUGAGAUCUGAGUACGGAUACCUUUAAAGAGACCAGUAUUAAAUGAUUUCCCUGAAAAUACCAUGCUUUGCUCAACUGGUUCUGUUCAAGAACCAUGCUGCAAAUCUCAGUCUUUUCAGACCUGUCUCAGUGGGUGAAGAACUUCUUGACAUGGAAGGCAAGUCAUAAUAAGGUGAGUGACCUCAGAACCAGAGCUUCUUAGGUCAUAGUAGUCCUACGACCUAAUCUGAUCUUCAUUGACUACAGUGAUUCCAUCUAUGCCUGGUCUUCUGUACGAAGAAAACAAAUCACAUAGCAGUCAGUUUUCAGCUACCGCUUUAAAACUUCAUGCCCAAAAGAAGGGACAUCUAGCAAAAGUGACUUCAGUGAAGGUCUUCAGGAUGCCAGCAUUGCUUCAUUGCUUCUACAGUGAGGCCAUCACCUCCAUUUUAAUCUACUUGAUCCAUUAUAAUUUUUCAGUAGGCAUGACUGUUGUGGCCUCCUUGCAAUCCCAUUGUAGUACUGAUUUUCGUCCUGGCAUCAACAUUUGGUCUUCUAAUAAAAGAUAUAGAAUCAACAACUAUUGUUGCAGUGGAAACAAGGAAACAAAAACAGGUCUUAAGUGAAGGUCACAUGUAGCUGGGGUAAGAUAGCACCCCACUUCCUCUAGCAAUAAGCUGGGCUCGACAAAUACAAUCUAUUCGCCACGGGCGAGUAGAUUGUAACCUGAAAGAGCCAGGUUCAGGUGAUCUGCGCAUGCGCAGAAGGACCUGCACAUGCACAGAUCGCCGGCCAGUGCAGCUGGUGAGUGGGGUUCGCCGCAGUUCGGCGAGCCCUGGCCAUAAGGAUCACAAGCUUGACUCCUAUUAGCACAUCCAGAACAAUGAUAGGCCAGAUGAAAAGUGCCAUGUAAUAACCUGUAAUGGACACUGAACAAUAGAAGAGACCAUGCAUAGCCAGAGGAAAGCAGCAUCCCUUUUCUGAAAUCAUAACCAUUCCAUACACCAGCUCUGUAAGCAAAGCAUUGCAGAGGGAAAAGAAGGACAAUGGUUGAUGAAUAUUUAGGAGUGCAUUUUUUUUUAACUCCGUGUCCCUGCUACUGAGAAGUUAGCUUUUUUUUUUUAAACUAGCAUUCACUUUUUUUGGUGCAAAGUAUCUCCUCCCCUACCCCCAACUUGAGAUAGUAAAGUGGUGCUGUCACAUGCAGCUGGUUCUCUUUUAAUGCUCUCAGCCCAGAGUCAAGCAUUCUGUACUGCCGUGUUCUUUACGAGCCCCCCAAUCCAUCCCAUAGUUUUUGUUCUCCUGCUCAAAAAGAAUUUAGUAAGUGCCUUUAAAGGAGAGGGAAAUGGACUCAUCUUAGACAUGGAGUAAACCAUCUCCUUGAUUGCUGCUACAAGCUUUUUAGAGAAAUGUGAAAGCUCCAUAUGCAAACUGGGAAAAAUAAAAUGGACAGGAAGAGAAAGUCAUGAUGGGGGGAGGGGAGGCAGGGGGAAGAGGGCCCCAAAAGGCUGUAAGAGGUUUUCAACAGAAAAUGAACGGUGAAAAGAAUGAGGACCUCCUGAGCCAUCCAUGUAGAGGAAAGUAGAUGGACAGGUCUCCUCCUGGUGGCCAGGCUCAUCCAACAGAAAUUUUAGUUUUAGUCCAAACAGUGGUCUUGAACACAGAGAAUCAGCAAACAUGCAUCAUUCACAACCAGAAUCCUUUAGCUCCAACAACUAGUUUCUGCAUCUACAAUAGUACUAGUGAGUUUAAUACGGACAUUUUGCUCAGUUUAAUGCCAUACAAAGUUAAAUGUGAAUCAUUCUAGCAGCUUGCCAAAGGCUCCAUCCAGUUUCUACAGAAUUUACUUUUUUAAAGACUUAAUCCUUUAGGACAGCUUCCAAAUAUAAGCCCAUGAAGUGCCUUGUGGGGUCUGUAGUGAGCCUGAAGCAAUAGCCUGAAGAAAUGGUAACAUCUGCAAUUCAUCUCAAUAGGUUAUUGUCUCUAAAAACCUGAUGGCAAAAGUGAGAGAGUUUAGUUUCUCUGAAUGGGCUGCCUGUAACAUGCUUAUCCAGUAUAAUUGAUUUGAAGAAUGACGCCAAUUCAUAUUAAAACCCCGCUUAAGGGCUGUUCCCUACAGCAUACUCUGCAUUGCUUUGGGAUGGCUAGAAUUAUCUGUUUUCAUUACCUCUCUUGGGAGACUGUUCCACAAUUUAGAUCUUAAUAGCAGGGUGAGGACACAGUAAAGCUGAUACAGAAGCAAAGAGGUUCCACGUGUAGCAAGUAUUACAACUUUCUGCCCCAUUUAAGACACUUAAUUUCAGUUUGAACAAGACUUGCUGCCUUUAAAUUUUUGUUCAGAUCCCAUUAUUCAUCCUAUUUACAAUGACCAUUAAGCACUAUUUUGUAAACAAGGUUUAUAUUAAACCAUUUUUCUUGCUAAAAUGCUAAUUCAGUACAAACAGAGUGAGUCAAAUGUUGCAUGAUCAUUAGCAGAAUACACAUUUUACACCAUGUAACAAACUCAGUAUUGAGAAAAGUUUUAACUUUUCAGGAGCAAAGUAUUACAGUAGAAGCAUUUAUUAUCCAUUUCUUCAAUCUUAAAUUGUACUUUAUGACAUUCAAAUCAGUCCCCAUUCAAACUGGAGAUGAACAGCACAUUUAUUUAUUUGAGUUACAAUGAGCAAGACAAGUAAACCUUACAACCAGAAAGGUAAUAAAGGGCUCAGCAGCUAAAA